rnacentral:rRNA from 1 species
CCUACGGGUGGCAGCAGUGGGGAAUAUUGGACAAUGGGGGCAACCCUGAUCCAGCCAUGCCGCGUGUGUGAAGAAGGCCCUCGGGUUGUAAAGCACUUUCAGUGAGGAAGAACGCCUGGUGGUUAAUACCCAUCAGGAAAGACAUCACUCACAGAAGAAGCACCGGCUAACUCCGUGCCAGCAGCCGCGGUAAUACGGAGGGUGCGAGCGUUAAUCGGAAUUACUGGGCGUAAAGCGCGCGUAGGUGGCUUGAUAAGCCGGUUGUGAAAGCCCCGGGCUCAACCUGGGAACGGCAUCCUGAACUGUCAAGCUAGAGUGCAGGAGAGGAAGGUAGAAUUCCCGGUGUAGCGGUGAAAUGCGUAGAGAUCGGGAGGAAUACCAGUGGCGAAGGCGGCCUUCUGGACUGACACUGACACUGAGGUGCGAAAGCGUGGGUAGCAAACAGGAUUAGAUACCCUGGUAGUC